UACGGAGGGAGCUAGCGUUAUUCGGAAUUACUGGGCGUAAAGCGCACGUAGGCGGCUUUGUAAGUUAGAGGUGAAAGCCCGGAGCUCAACUCCGGAACUGCCUUUAAGACUGCAUCGCUUGAAUCCAGGAGAGGUGAGUGGAAUUCCGAGUGUAGAGGUGAAAUUCGUAGAUAUUCGGAAGAACACCAGUGGCGAAGGCGGCUCACUGGACUGGUAUUGACGCUGAGGUGCGAAAGCGUGGGGGGAGCAAACAGGAUUAGAUACCCUGGUAGUCCACGCCGUAAACGAUGAUAACUAGCUGUUGGGGCUCUUAGAGCUUCAGUGGCGCAGCUAACGCAUUAAGUUAUCCGCCUGGGGAUACGGUGCAAGGUUAAACUCAAA
rnacentral:rRNA from 1 species